rnacentral:rRNA from 1 species
UGGUGGGUAGUUUGACUGGGGCGGUCUCCUCCUAAAGAGUAACGGAGGAGCACGAAGGUUGGCUAAUCCUGGUCGGACAUCAGGAGGUUAGUGCAAUGGCAUAAGCCAGCUUGACUGCGAGCGUGACGGCGCGAGCAGGUGCGAAAGCAGGUCAUAGUGAUCCGGUGGUUCUGAAUGGAAGGGCCAUCGCUCAACGGAUAAAAGGUACUCCGGGGAUAACAGGCUGAUACCGCCCAAGAGUUCAUAUCGACGGCGGUGUUUGGCACCUCGAUGUCGGCUCAUCACAUCCUGGGGCUGAAGUAGGUCCCAAGGGUAUGGCUGUUCGCCAUUUAAAGUGGUACGCGAGCUGGGUUUAGAACGUCGUGAGACAGUUCGGUCCCUAUCUGCCGUGGGCGCUGGAGAACUGAGGGGGGCUGCUCCUAGUACGAGAGGACCGGAGUGGACGCAUCACUGGUGUUCGGGUUGUCAUGCCAAUGGCACUGCCCGGUAGCUAAAUGCGGAAGAGAUAAGUGCUGAAAGCAUCUAAGCACGAAACUUGCCCCGAGAUGAGUUCUCCCUGAGACUUUAAGUCUCCUGAAGGAACGUUGAAGACGACGACGUUGAUAGGCCGGGUGUGUAAGCGCAGCGAUGCGUUGAGCUAACCGGUACUAAUGAACCGUGAGGCUUA